rnacentral:misc_RNA from 1 species
UUGAACUCAGAAUUUCAAAUAUGCAUCAUGAAUUCAUUAGAAAAAGAAAGAGAGAAAAGAAAGAGAUCAGCAAUUACAAAAACAAAAAGGGUUUCAUAAUUCAAAUGAAGGAGGAAAAAUAAAGAGCAGCUUUUCAACUAAAAGGGUUUCAUAAUUCAAAUAAAAGGUUUCAAAGCAUGCAGUUACAUUUUCUGCUGGUUUAUCAUGUGAGAGCAUAUAAUAAACAAUGCCAAGGAAGAUUAUAUGAAUACAAUAAAAAAUGCCAAGGAAGAUUAUAUGAAUACAAUAAAA